rnacentral:rRNA from 1 species
CGUGUAGGCGGCCGCGUAAGUCGGAUGUGAAAGCCCUUGGCUCAACCGAGGAAGUGCAUCCGAUACUGCGUGGCUCGAGUCCUGGAGAGGAAGGUGGAAUGCUUGGUGUAGAGGUGAAAUUCGUAGAUAUCAAGCGGAACACCGGUGGCGAAGGCGGCCUUCUGGACAGUGACUGACGCUGAGACGCGAAAGCGUGGGGAGCAAACA